rnacentral:rRNA from 1 species
GAUGAACGCUAGCGGAAGGCUUAAUACAUGCAAGUCGAGCGGUAGUUCCCUUCGGGGGAUGAGAGCGGCGCACGGGUGAGUAACGCGUACAUGACCUGCCUGUCAGAAGGGGAUAGCCCUGGGAAACUGGGAUUAAUACCCUAUGGUAUUGAUAUUAUGAAUGAUAUCAAUUAAAGUUGAGGCGCUGACAGAUGGAUGUGCGUCUGAUUAGCUAGUUGGUAGGGCAACGGCCUACCAAGGCGACGAUCAGUAGGGGGCGUGAGAGCGUGGUCCCCCACACGGGUACUGAGACACGGACCCGACUCCUACGGGAGGCAGCAGUAAGGAAUAUUGGUCAAUGCCCGCAAGGGUGAACCAGCCAUUCCGCGUGGAGGAUGAAGGCCCUAUGGGUUGUAAACUUCUUUUAGAUGGGAAGAAAAUGCUAGAUGUAUCUGGUACUGACGGUACCAUCAGAAUAAGCACCGGCUAACUCCGUGCCAGCCGCCGCGGUAAUAC